rnacentral:rRNA from 1 species
GACGAACGCUGGCGGCGCGCUUAACCCAUGCUAGUCGACCGGAAAGGCUCUGCUCUUGUGGGGUGCUCGCGUGGCGACCGGGUGCGUCACACGUGCGUAUCCUGCCCUUGAUUUUGGGCUAUCUUCAGGCAACUGGGGCUCUUAACCGAUAGGAGCACCUGCUUCCCGGUGGGGGUUGGACCGUUUCUUGGGUUGGGGUCGGAUUCGCGACUUCUCCGCUUGUUGGUGGGGUCGUGCCUUAACAACGCCUUGACGGGUAGCCGGCCUGCGAGGGUGACCGGCCACAUCGGUACUGAAAUACGGCCCGAACUCCUACUGGAGGCAGCAGUGAGGAAUAUUGCACAAUGGGCCGAGGCCUGAUGCAGCAACGCCGCGUGCGGGAUGACGGCCUUCGGGUUGUAGACCGCUUUCGCCUGUGACGAAGCGUGAGUGGCGUUAAUGGGUAGAGAAGCACCGGCUAACUACGUG